UUCUAAUAUGGCAGAAUAGUGUAAUGGACUUAAACCCCAUAUAUAAAAUCUUCCAGAUUUUUUUUAGA
rnacentral:tRNA from 1 species